rnacentral:tmRNA from 1 species
GGGGAUGACUGGUUUCGACGGGUAAGUUGAAGCUUCAGUGGCGUGUCGAGGUUGGCCUCCAGGCCUCGUAAAAAGGAGUCCAAAAAACAUAAAUGCUGACGAAAGUUACGCACUGGCAGCUUAGUUCUGCCACGUCUCUACCCUGAAGCCUGUUAGGGGCUAGAGGCGACGAUAACAGGCUGGCACCAAGGUCGGGGAUCCGGGCGGCGGUGCGAGAAUCAACAGGAUCCUAGCGACCAAAGUGGCCCGGUCAGGCGGCAGCGGCGGCGGCGAAUCCUUUAAUGCCCGACUACACACGUAGAAGCUGUUGUGACUCUUAUUCGGACGGGGGUUCAAUUCCCCCCAUCUCCACCA